rnacentral:rRNA from 1 species
CAAUAGCGUAUAUUAAAGUUGUUGCAGUUAAAAAGCUCGUAGUUGGAUUUGUGGCGUACGGUGUGUUCCGGGCACUUGUUGUCUGAGUAACCUGCUGUUGCCAUCCUUGGGUGGAACCUGUGUGGCAUUAGGUUGUCGUGCAGGGGAUGCCCAUCAUUUACUGUGAAAAAAUUAGAGUGUUCAAAGCAGGCUUAUGCCGUUGAAUAUAUUAGCAUGGAAUAAUGAGAUAGGACUUUUUUGCUAUUUUGUUGGUUUGCGCAAAGAGGUAAUGAUUAAUAAGGACAGUUGGGGAUAUUCGUAUUCCAUUGUCAGAGGUGAAAUUCUUGGAUUUUUGGAAGACGAACUACUGCGAAAGCAUUUACCAAGGAUGUUUUCAUUAA